rnacentral:rRNA from 1 species
GACGAACGCUGGCGGCGUGCCUAACACAUGCAAGUCGAACGCGUCCUUCGGGACGAGUGGCAGACGGGUGAGUAACGCGUGGGAACGUACCCUUUGGUUCGGAAUAAGCUCGGGAAACUGGGUCUAAUACCGGAUAAGCCCUUCGGGGGAAAGAUUUAUCGCCAGAGGAUCGGCCCGCGUUAGAUUAGCUAGUUGGUGAGGUAAUGGCUCACCAAGGCUACGAUCUAUAGCUGGUCUGAGAGGAUGAUCAGCCACACUGGGACUGAGACACGGCCCAGACUCUUACGGGAGGCAGCAGUGGGGAAUCUUGGACAAUGGGCGAAAGCCUGAUCCAGCCAUGCCGCGUGAAUGAUGAAGGCCCUAGGGUUGUAAAAUUCUUUCGACGGGGAAGAUAAUGACGGUACCCGUAGAAGAAGCUCCGGCUAACUUCGUGCCAGCCGCCGCGGUAAGAC